rnacentral:rRNA from 1 species
GACGAACGCUGGCGGCGUGCCUAAUACAUGCAAGUAGGACGCAGUUGCGAACGGGUGAGUAACGCGUAGGUAACUACCUAUUAGAGGGGGAUAACUAUCGGAAACGAUAGCUAAUACCGCAUACUAGUAGAUGGACCUGCGUUGUAUUAGCUAGUAGGUAGGGUAAUGGCCUACCUAGGCAACGAUACAUAGCCGGCCUGUGGGGGGGAUCGGGCAACCGGGGCAUGGAGCCAGGCCCCGGCUCCUGCGGGGGGCAGCAAGAGGGGAUCGUGGGGAAAGGGGGGAAACCUGGCCGGACAACGCCGCGUGGUGGGAAGAAGUUUUCGGGUCGUAAAGCUCUUGUGUUGAGAAAACGGUACUUAACCAGAAAGGGACGGCUAACUACGUGCCAGCCGCCGCGGUAAUAC